AAAGUCGUAACAAGGUUUCCGUAGGUGAACCUGCGGAAGGAUCAUUAACGUGGGGCUCCGGCCCCGCCGAGAUAGAACCCUUGCCUUUUUGAGUACCACACGUUUCCUCGGCAGGCCCGCCUGCCAAUGGGGACCCAAACAUAAACCUGAAUCGCCCGUCAUAGUCUGAGAAAAUCAUAAAAAUUAAAACUUUCAACAACGGAUCUCUUGGUUCUG
rnacentral:misc_RNA from 1 species